rnacentral:rRNA from 1 species
AACGAACGCUGGCGGCAGGCUUAACACAUGCAAGUCGAGCGCCCCGCAAGGGGAGCGGCAGACGGGUGAGUAACGCGUGGGAACCUACCCAUCUCUACGGAAUAACGCAUGGAAACGUGUGCUAAUACCGUAUACGUCCUUCGGGAGAAAGAUUUAUCGGAGAUGGAUGAGCCCGCGUUGGAUUAGCUAGUUGGUGGGGGAAAGGCCUACCAAGGCGACGAUCCAUAGCUGGUCUGAGAGGAUGAUCAGACACACUGGGACUGAGACACGGCCCAGACUCCUACGGGAGGCAGCAGUGGGGAAUAUUGGACAAUGGGCGCAAGCCUGAUCCAGCCAUGCCGCGUGAGUGAUGAAGGCCCUAGGGUUGUAAAGCUCUUUCACCGGUGAAGAUAACAACGGUAACCGGAGAAGAAGCCCCGGCUAACUUCGUGCCAGCAGCCGCGGUAAAAC